AGAUCCUGAUGAGUCCACAAAGCCUGUAAAGUUUCAAGAAGAGAAAACCAGGAUUCCUGCACAUCAAUUACAUGAUGGGAGGCUGCAGUUUGAUGGGAAGCAUGAUGUAAGAAUAUGAAUGUGAAAGGCAAGCAUUGGUGUUUGGCUAAUAAAGGCUCUGUUUUUAUA